UUGACGCACUGAGGCUCGUGAUUGACGCAAGCCUUGUUACUAAAUUUAGCACCUGUCGAGGCAGAGUGAGAUAGCAGAGAGACCAUUCAUUGUGCCGGGGCGGGCCCGACUAUUUUGGCGUUGUGAUUGUGAUCCAGCCAAGCCAAAUAUAGUCGUAGACAGGUAUUUUUAGCCGUAAAGCGCGUCCCCGUUUUCACUCGGCAAAGGCGAACUGGGCCAAACAGUUUGAAAUGAACCACGGCUCCGAAAUCCGCACACUCAGUGUUAACAUGCUAUUCACUAGGAGAUAGUUUUACAGUCAGCUGACAUUUUGCCGACUUGCCCAAAGAGAAAGAGCAGUAAGGGGCUGUCGAGAGUAAAUCUCGCUGCCAUAGUUUCCCUCUACACCCGGGCACAAGUUUGGUUGGAGAAGCGGGGAAUGAAAACUCCACUAAUCCGAAGAUAAAUAGCCCUCGGUUCGUCAAAGAGAAACAUACAGCAGCUCUUCCCGGCUGGUCAGGGUAUCAGCUGCCUCGGCUGUGACCUCACCAUGGUGACGUGUAAUCCAGAUUAACCCGCUCUCUUAUUCCGCCAGACAUGGAAGUGAUUAGAGCUUAUGACCGUGUCCUUUUAAUAGAAUUGGACGUGUGGGUAAUCAACUGUGUCCACCAGUGCUGCGUGUCAGGAACUGGUGCUGUCUGAUCAGCUGGUCCUGAAGUGAGAAAGAAUAAAUUCCUCAAAUGUAAAAGGUAUCUUAACAAAACAAAGUGCCUUACUGGAAGAGCAUCCACUGGAAGCCACAUGCCCAAGUGUUGUGUUUGAACAGAGUGUACGUCUCUGAACAAGCAGCUCCUUUUUAAUUGGAAAGGCCAUAUUUCUUCAUACAGGCUGGUGAAACAGGGAAAAAGUGUGUAUAGUUUUGCUAAAGAAUAUUAUCAGUCCACAAGUUAAAAAUUAUGAAUUUUUAUUCUGAAACACUGUAUUCCCUGUACCAAACAUCCUGGUCCUCGUACUCACUGCCAUUCAUGCAAUAUUCUUUUUAUUCUGCUACUUCUGCUACUCUUCUACCACACACUUUUAUAAACAAGAAAAGGGAACGGUCAAAAGUUGCUGAAUAUAAGUUCAAUCCUUUCCAUAUUCUUUCUGAAAUUUGCUUUUGCUUUUUUGCUUACUUGCUUGGUCCUUACUGACCAAAGGUGGCCAACGACGAGUGAAUGUUGGUAUCACAUUUUCCAUCAGGCAAAUUGAAUUUUCCAAAUCAAAUAAAUUCUCGUGUUUUGUCCUUCUUUUGUUGCUUCCUGCCUCUAAAACUAAUUAUUCAGCAAUAAAGAAAAACACUUGACAGUUUGAGUAUCUGCUGCCUCUGUACUGAACUGUUAAACCGCCGCAGGCUUGUUUGUGUUGUCAGAUUUAUGACAGAGGAAAUUAGAUCCUCUGCGUAAAAAGUGCUUUGCUGCUUGUCAAAUUUGUUAGCACGGCAGUCGUAGUAUGUGGUGGUCCAGCAUGUUUAGGCGUCCUGUACACAGCUGCUGACUAUACGGUGGGCAUAUUGCACUGAGACACUCUGGUUUGUCACAAAGCAGAAGUGAAAAGUGAUUGUGUCAGUUUGAAUGAGCUCUCUAUGUCUACGGCCAAGGCACCAGCACUCAGUGCUCUGGUGACACUGGAGAAAGAGGAAAGCAGAGAAAGAGAGAAACAGAGGAAAGCUUUUAUCUUCGUGUCACUAAAUCUGCUCCAACUGUACGUCAGAGUGCAGGCGAGGACGGGAAGGACGGGGGUGUGGGGGAGAAGACUGCUGGCGCAAAGGCACAGUGCUCAAUGGUGGCUUUCUUCCCUUUCUGCGGACACACACACACACACAUGCAGACAGCACACACAAACACACACACACAGGCGCACCAUGGGGAUUCCCCACGGGAGUACCCAAGUGAAGUAAUACAACCCAUCGCUGCCUUAUCACACCAGUGCCCAAAGACAGGAGAGAGGAGUGUAGAGAGGUGUCUCCAUGAACCACGGCACAGGAGGGCUACUGUAUAUCACUUAGGGAUUGUGGACCAUUAUCUGAUGUUAUCGUGGUGUGUUUUUACAGUUUUUUUUUUUUUUUAAAUGUGUGUGUGCUUGCCUCUCAACAGAGGGAGAGAAGGGUAAUGUGCUGCAACUUGUGCAUAGUGUUCUGUGUUUUCCCUUACUUGUUUGCAUUGGAGCUUUAUCAUCCUCUCUUAUUAUGACCCUGCAAUGAAAUUUAACAGCAUGAUUCACUGCUUUGUGUAAAUUUCGGAUGGUGUGUGUAUGCAAAGCCCUGUUUGUUUUCUCUUUAUUUGUACGUGUUCUGUUGUGCAUGUGUUCAUGUGUACAAGUAUAUUUGUAUGUAUGUACAGCAGUGUCAGUUCUACAAGACCUCUGGACUGCAGCUAUGCAUUUGCGUCUUUAAGGAUAGGACACUGGUGUAAUGGUUAAGCAAGCAAGGAAAUGUUGUGUGAUGCGUGAGCGGGAUGAUUUGCAUGCUUAUAAAGAAAUGUAUAGCUUAGAGUCUGUGCAUUUCUGCUGUCAAGCCCACAUCAGGUUGUCUGAAGGUGUGAGUCAAGGGUCACAGAGAAGGAGGCUUGUUCUGACAGGUUGACGAGCUCAACGGGUUCAGUGUCCUCAUGUCUCCUUACAUCAGUCCAGAAAGCUUUCUUAGAGCACAUAUAUACAGUCCUCACUAAGCUCCAUAUGAAAAGAACAGUUUACACACACACACAUACUUGUGAGAAGCAGGUGCGUGUCAGGCAGGAUCCAGCAUGCAACAACACAUGACACUGCGCACUAUUUCAUACCUCCCUCAGUAGCUGAUUUUUCUCACCCAUGCCAGCCUCCAGUAGGAAUCUCCAGUGUUUGACCUUGAACCACAUUGUACAAAAUAUAAAAAAUAAUUGUCCCACUUAUUAUGUUAAUAAGUGCAUUAAGGGGUAAGAGGUGGAAAAGAAACUUUGUAUUGCCAUUGCCAGGUUUUGUGAUAUAAAGCUACUAAUCGCUGUAACUGGCUCGACUACUUUAUAAUAACUAUUAUUGUGAGUAUUGAAAGUUGGUCUACACCCUUUAAGCCUGGGUAUGCUGGCAGACAAGGCAGAUAUUUCCCAUUAUUCGCCAGUCUGCAGUUAUGUGCUGGGGCGGAGCAGUUGCCGGUCACAGAAUGCAGACGGUAUUCAACCACAUGCGUAACAGUAGUCAUUUCGUGUUUAAUGAGCCACUGCAGCCACAGUAGAUCAGUAAAUUAAAACAGGAUUUGUAUUGUGUUGCUUGGAGUGUUGAAGAAUGGGCUUAUCAGUUAUGCCAGUUACACACAGAUCAAACAGGCUCUGAACAACACGGAUCCCAUGUGCACAAUGUGCAACUGUUGAAAGGUGUCUUAUUCACACCCCGGUGUGAGUGACAGAGCAGCUCUACAGAGGAUCAGUCUCCCGCUACUCAGAAAUAUGUUUGGCUUGUUGUUCCUUCACUUGGAGGUUGCGCAACUUCCUAUCUGCAGAGUUUAACACUAGAAUGCAUGAAGGUUUCUCUGUGCACACUUUAAAUUUGAGUUUAAGACGUGUACAUAUGGGCACGAUUUUGGGACAUGUUAACUAGUUUGGAAGCCCAUCGUGUUCCACUUUGCAGCUUGCAGGUGGGUGGUACGUUGUGUCCAGCAGUUAAAUCUAUGAAAUAAAAAAUUUCUUGCCUAUUCAGAGUUUUCAAUCAUGGAAAAGGAGCAAAUGUAAAGUUUUUAAAAAUGAAAUAUAACUUUUCUGAGGGAAAAAAAAACAUAUCAGAGCCAAAGAGAUUGUUUAUAUAUUUCUUAAAACAUGUCUGAAUUUUAAUUUUAAACCUAUAAUACUCAUUGUUUACACCAUAUGAGCUUAACUUCGUGUGCCAUAUGCAGUAGUUUGCAGGUUGCAAAAAGAAGGUCACAUAAAAUGCCCUGAAGACAUUGAACCCAGUGGUAUUUUGACAUUAGGAAAUGUUGGUAUUGGGCAACGGCAUCAGAUAAAACAUUGUCAGAGCACAUCGUUUUUUGACUCUUGAUCUUAAUUCUGUCUUGUUUUAAAUUAUGAUUCAGAGACUGUGAUCACUUACGUCAUCUUGUAAUAAAAGAAAAAAAAAAGAAAGCCUGUCAAUCAGUAACUGUGGACCUGCCAAUCAGAAGCCCAGCUGCUGACCUGUUAUGUAAGUUGACUGGAAACAACAAAUUGUGUCACUACUGUAGGUAUUAACUUUACAACUUAACUGCUGGUGAAUUUAAGUGUGUGUGGGUGUAAUUUGUAAGACAGUAUGUGUGGAAAUAUGUGAACAGUGGGUGUAUGAGUCACCUUCAUGUAGGCGUUUGUUUAAAGGCCAUUUUCUAGGAGAUGUCAGAAACAGGAACAUGCAUUAGUGUAUGUGUGUGUGCAUAUAACGUGUGCUGUUUUGUCGUUUGACGUUAAACCUUUCAGGAUUCCCCCUCUUAAUGUGACAACAAACAAACACAAUGUCCUCAUGGCUAAGACGCAGUCCGUGUCCACUUGUGUGGCUGAUGAUGUUAACCAAAUAUUUUGCAUGCAGUUUAAAAUAAACUUAAUAUGAAACGUGCCGGUGAGGGAACUAUACAGACGAGCUUGGGAAUUUUGGUUGCAGGUGAAAAUGUGCGUAUGUAUUUGUGGAUUAAUUUCAGUGUAUUUGUGCUCGUGUGAGAAACAGUUGCCCUUUUCUUAUUCUCAUAUGGGCCCUGCUUUGGGGAGACACAAGUGCCAUCAGGCUGAAUGCCUUACACGCCUCGAUUAGUUUCACCUCCGCUCGUGCCACUCCCACACCUUCAGUCCAGGUAUCUGCCUGACAACUUGUAAUUGUAGUUUGGGCUUACUUGUUAUAAAGAAGUGAUGACAUUUUGGUAGCUGAGUCAGUGUCUUUGUCGCCCUUCAGAUAUUCAACACUUGAGCAGAAUGUGUGUGUGUAUCCUGUGAUUUUUACUCAGCGUAUGUGGUCUAAAUAUGUGCUCGGAGAUUGACGCUGUGCUGUGGCACUGUCAUAUCACUAUGGGUCACACACGCUGACCACAUGGGCAUGUGCACGGGCAGACAAGCACACACACACACACACACACAUGCACACACACCCACUCACACUUACAGAUAAACAAGCGGUUGCAUUUCUGCAUGAGUCACAGUCGUGGGCAGAGGUGGAAAGUUUCCUUGUUUGGGCUAUCCCCCCCUGCUGACACUUCUGAUACUUUUUGAAGUAUCCGAUGUGUAUCUAAUCACAAGUCAAUUUGCAGUGGACAGUGGGUUCAGCUCAUACCUGCUCAGAUUACAGACGUGCACACUUUUGCUUUCCAUCUCUUUCUAUAUGCUCACUGACAGAAAAACAUACAUACAAAGCACAUGUUGUCACACACACUCCAUUAUUUCCUAAUUCAUU